rnacentral:rRNA from 1 species
CCUACGGGGGGCAGCAGUGGGGAAUUUUGGACAAUGGGCGCAAGCCUGAUCCAGCCAUGCCGCGUGUCUGAAGAAGGCCUUCGGGUUGUAAAGGACUUUUGUCAGGGAAGAAAAGGCUGUUGCUAAUAUCGACAGCUGAUGACGGUACCUGAAGAAUAAGCACCGGCUAACUACGUGCCAGCAGCCGCGGUAAUACGUAGGGUGCGAGCGUUAAUCGGAAUUACUGGGCGUAAAGCGAGCGCAGACGGUUACUUAAGCAGGAUGUGAAAUCCCCGGGCUCAACCUGGGAACUGCGUUCUGAACUGGGUGACUAGAGUGUGUCAGAGGGAGGUAGAAUUCCACGUGUAGCAGUGAAAUGCGUAGAGAUGUGGAGGAAUACCGAUGGCGAAGGCAGCCUCCUGGGAUAACACUGACGUUCAUGCUCGAAAGCGUGGGUAGCAAACAGGAUUAGAUACCCGGGUAGUC